rnacentral:rRNA from 1 species
ACGAACGCUGGCGGCGUGCCUCAAACAUGCAAGUCGAGCGUGGGCACGUUGCCUCGCAAGAGGCGACGUGCUCUAGCGGCGAACGGGUGCGUAACACGUGGGAAACCAACCCUCCAGACGGGGACAACCUCGGGAAACCGGGGCUAAUACCGGAUACGUUCGCCGGGUCGCAUGGCCUGGCGAGGAAAGGAUCGCAAGAUCGCUGGAGGACGGUCCCGCGGCCUAUCAGCUAGUUGGCGAGGUAACGGCCCACCAAGGCGAUGACGGGUAGCUGGCCUGAGAGGGUGGUCAGCCACACUGGAACUGAGAUACGGUCCAGACUCCUACGGGAGGCAGCAGUUGGGAAUCUUGGGCAAUGGGCGCAAGCCUGACCCAGCGACGCCGCGUGGGGGAUGAAGGCCUUCGGGUUGUAAACCCCUGUCAGGAGGGACGAAGCCGCAAGGUGACGGUACCUCCAGANGAAGCCCCGGCUAACUACGUGCCACAGCCGCGGUAAGACGUAGGGGGCUACGUUGUCCGGAAUUACUGGGCGUAAAGCGCGUGCAGGCGGCCUGGUAAGUUCCCGUGUUAAAGCCUACGGCUCAACUGGUAGGAAGGCCGCGGGAUUACUGGUCGGGCUUAAAAGGGCAGGA